AUCUCUCGGACACCAAUGGGGAGACUUGGAGAACCAGAAGAGGUUGCCCGUUUGGUAGCACUCCUUUGCCUUCCAGCAUCAUCUUUCAUAACGGGACAAAUUAUCUGUGCUGAUGGUGGGUUGACAGCAAAUGGGGUUUUCUUCCCAAGAUCAGACCUUUGAAAACUAAACAAGAUAAUUAAACACAGCUGGUUGCUGGGUUUUUUUAUUCAAUAAAAUUC